rnacentral:lncRNA from 1 species
CACAGACUCAGCGCUCAGACAUCUGGGAGGUGCUGGGUGGCCUGGGUAUUUUUAGAAGGCCAGAGGCAAACAUGCCUGGAAUCCUGGGUGUUGCUGAGCCAAAGAAGCUGGGAGGCCAGCAGAGGGUGAACCAGAAGAGGUGGCCUCGGCCCGGGUCCUAACUUCACCAAGGUGGCUAACAAAUUUUUCCAGCAACACAGAGCUGAGAGGAUUGGGAUCUCAGAGAAGAAGGAGCCCUGCAUUCUUGGCUUCAUCUGCCUGGAGUGGAGUUUCCAUCAUGCUGAGCUGGAGGUGCACGGGGCCAGGGAAUGAGCAAGUCGUAGCUCAAAUGUCCCAGACUCUUACUAUUCUUAUUGAAAUUUAGUAGGUUUUCUUGAAUAAAUGUUUCUUCAUCUGCUGUAUGCCCUUAGGACAAUUCCCAGGAACAUACAUCUAUAUUGAUAUCAAUAUAAAUAUAAAUAGAUAAUUAUGUAUGUAUAACUUUAGCAGUUUUACUUGUUCUGCUGGAAAGAAGGUCUGGAAGGUUUGCAGAGCUGCUCAUGCCACCAUUCCAGAAGUUAUCCACCAGUUCAUUGCUUUUUGCACAGUAGUAUUCCAUUGCAUGUCUAUGCCACAAUUUGUUUAUCCAUUCACCUGUUGAUGGACAUUUGAGCUGUUUCCUGUUUGAGGCUAUUACAAAUAAAGCUGCUUUACAAAUAAAGCUGCUUUGAACAUUUGUGUAUAAGUCUUUGGACAUAUGCUUUGAUUUAUCUUGAGUAAAUAUCUAGAAGUGGAGUGGCUGGGUUAUAUGGUAGGUUUGUGUUUUAAUUUUUAAGAAGCUGCUAAGAUGUCUUCCAAAGUGAUUCCCCCAUUAUGCACUCCUGCCAGCAGUGUGUGAGAGUUCCAGUUUCUCCAGAUUCUCACCAACACCUGGUAUGGUCAGUCUUUUUAAUGUUAGCCAUUCUAAUAGAUGUGUAGUGGUAUCUCAUUGUGGUUUUAAUUUUCAUUUUCCUAAUAGGUAAUGAUGUGUUUGAGCAUUUUUUCAUGUGCCUAUUUACUAUCCAUACACCUACUUGGUGAAAUAUCUGUUCAAAUCUUUUGCCUCCUUUCUUUUUUCAUAAUUGGGUGGUUUGUUUUCUUAUUAUUGAGUUUUGAGAGUUCUUUCUAUAUUGCAGAUACAAAUUUUUCUUGGAUAUGUGUACUGCAAUAGUUUCUCCCAGUUAGUAGCAUGUCUUUUCAUUCUCCUAACGGUUUCUUUCAAAAGGCAAAUGUUCUUAAUUUUGAUGAAGUCCAAUUUACAAAUAUUUUUCCUUUACAGAUCAUGUUUCUGGUAUUAUAUUUAUAAAAUCUUUGCCUAACUCGAGGUCACGAAGAUUUUGUUUUAUUGUUUAGUGUUCUCUCCUUCCAAUUUUUGGUUCCCAUUGUGUGUAUGGUUUUAUAUCUUGCUUUUUUUCCCAAAAAAACUUUAAAAAAUUUAAAUCCAUGGAAAAAUUGAAAGAUUAGUAUCAUGAACAAUGGCAUACUUUUUGCCUACAAGCAUCAAUUGUUAAUACCUUGCUACAUUUGCUAUAUCUCCCUGGAUACCUUUAAGUUGCAGGAUUUUGUAACACUGACUUUUUGCAAGGUCUAGGAAACCCAUCCUGAAAAUGUUCUUUAAAAAACAUCAACAGCAGCCUGUGCCAUUUUCUGCGAUAACAAAGGUCGUACUUGCCCAGUGUAGAGGACUGGGAAAAAACAGAGCAGCAAAAGAAGAAAAUAAAACUGUUCCCUCCCCCUAUUCCAACCCCAUGAUACCAGGA